CAGGAGCAGACUCUGACACCUCACUUUAACCUACAUGAAAACAUGGUGUUCUCUAUAAUCCAAGUUUACAAACAUGCAUUCUAAAACAGUUGCCUGAAGGUGAAUCUAUUACCUGCCACACUACAUUCAAAGGGAAUCCAACAUAAAUGGAACUAUAUACUAAUAUCUUGGUCUGUGGACCAGAAAUUUGGCCCAGCAUUUUUUAAAAAAAAUAAUAAAUAUUAACACAGAGGUAAGAUUUCUGCUGGGGUUAACAGGUGGGACUACUUAUUACCCAAUUAAACAAGUAAGAACUCUUAAAAAGUUUGUCCAAAAAGUUACAAACUGGAAUUUUCUUCUCCCUUCUACAGACAAUGAAGAAAGUCACUAGGGUAGAAGGCAGCUCUCUGUAACUACACUCACCUAGUGACACCACUGCAGAGUAGCAGUGUCCAUGGUGGGGUGGCUCAGCUUUAGAGCAAAUUAGGAUCUCUGGAGCAGUGUGCUUCUGGGACAAAGUAUUGUCUUUAAUUUUUAGGAAAACAGCAUAGAAAAUGCUAUCUUAUUGACAAGAAUUUAUAAAGAUGUUUCAUCUACAUAAGAGUAUUUAGUUUGCUCUCCCAAAUAAGAUCAGUAACAUAAACUUCACAGAAUUACAUUUAUUCAACUGGUCUUUAAAUUCACUGAAAACUCAGAGAAAUAAGGAACCUAGUUAUUUUAGUACCUUCUAUCAAAUACUAUCAUGUCAAGCGGGUUGCUUUCAGAAAGACAUACUAUACUCAGCACAUUUAAUAUGAAAAAAUGCUGGGGUGUAUUUAAUCCUACUAUAAAAGUUAUUAGAGCCAAUCAUAAAGUUUCUUUGGCUUUUAAAGCUGCUACAUUAAGUGGAAUGAUCUAACUCAACUGUUCUUUUUUCUUCUGCAGUAUCAAAUAAUUAACUUACUCAAAUUUUACUUCUUUUAUGCCCUGCUUUAACACUGUAGAAGUAGCCACAUCUCACACAAAGAGGUGUCCCAAUUAAGCCUAUUUAGCAAGAUAAAGUUUGGCUUAUUAACUUUUUAAUACUAUUUUGACUAGUAUAUAGUUUCUACUUUUCUUAAGUGCUUUUAAUACUACAUAAAGAGAAAUGAGACCAAUAACUUUGGCAUUAGCAGGAAAUAACAUAGUCAAUUUGAAAUAUGGAACAGAUUGUCAAAGAAUAUCCUUUUUAAUAAGAGGUUCUCAUGAAUUUACUCUUGGUGAAAGAAAAACAUGACUAUCAGACUAGUUUAAAUAUUUGUCUUACAUGCUUAGUCUGAGAAUGAAUGCACACUGUUAUUUUCUUCCUUUGAAUCUCAUUUUUUUAAAUGAGAAAGUUAAACUUAACAAAUUAAAAUUAUACACUUUCAGACAUCAAUACAGGUAAAAACACCAACUAAAUGACUCCUUGGGGACUGAAAUCAGGGUUUCACAGCUGCUGCACACAUGGUCUAAUUACAAAGCCACACACUAACCCCAGAUCUUAUUUACUAAGCAAGAAUUGUAUCACCAAAAUAUUUAUAUUAGCUAGGUGUCUAUAGAGUAAGAUUAAGAGUUUCUAUUUGAAAAGGAGCAGCAUAAAUCUACAACACUAUUCAUUAUUCAUAAUGAUUUUAAUUAUUCCUAGGAAAAAUAACCUGUCUUCUUAUAAAACUUAAAAGGCAUAAAGUAGAAUUUAUUCUCUUGAGCUAAAAAUAAAGCUAUCCAAUUAAAAACUUUCAUUCAACUUAAUUUUUUGAAAAGAUUACCACAUUUGUUCAAGUUUAUGCCCUUGAUCGCUUUCCAAGUCACAAAAUCCCUCACUUUAAGAUAGGAUCGCCACAUAUAAAAAAUAUUUUAAAUUACUCAGAGUACAAAAGUUUUAAUACUCAAAGAGUAACUUUAAUAUUUCUCUGUAAAUAAACAAGGUCAGAAAGCAAACAGGUAUUUCUCACUUAACUAAAAUUCAUUUCCAGAUACAAUGUGUUAGCCGGCCAACAUCACAAUGUAGGUAAGCGAGAGAAUGUUAUCUUGUUAUCUUACUAUGCGCUCUGCUCACUGUGAUUGCUCUGGCAGUGCCAGAGUACAGACAACUAGCUAAUCAGCAAACUACUUACUGGCUUGGAUAAAGAAUCUAGGCAUUAUCUAUAGGUUUUAGCUGUUGGUCCUUAAAAAUGAAAAUUAAUAAUAAUAAUAAUAAUAAUAAUAAGUUAAAAAGUGGGGGCUGGAGAGAUGGCUCAGCAGUUAAGAACACCGACUGUUCUUCUGAAGGCGCUGAAUUCAAAUCCCAGCAACCACAUGGUGGCUCACAACCAUCCGUAAUGAGAUCUGACACCCUACUCUGCAGUGUCUGAAGACAGCUACCAUGUACUCACUUAUAAUAAAUUAAUUAUCAAUCUUUAAAAAUAUAAAGCUAAUUGGUUCUUUAUAGUAUUACUUUCUUUUAACAAAAAAAAAAAAAAAAAGUUAAAAUAGCAAAACAGACAUUAUUAGGCUAAUUAAAUCUGGAAGAAUAUAACCUAUUAACCCAAGAAAUAAAACAAAACAAAUGGAAUGAAACAAAAUUAUGUGGUAAGGAUUAUGUGGUUUGUGGUUAGCCACACUAAUCAUGUUUUCUUGCUACAUUUACAACAAGCAUACACAGAUGUUGGGCAUGGUAAUCCUAAAGUUUAGAAACUGACUAUCUGUUUUUAAUUCUGCACUUUAGUUUUGUUACAUU
ensembl:antisense